UACGGAGGAUGCAAGCGUUAUCCGGAAUCAUUGGGUUUAAAGGGUCCGUAGGUGGAUUGGUCAGUCAGAGGUGAAAUCCUGCAGCUUAACUGUAGAACUGCCUUUGAUACUGCUAAUCUUGAGUCAUUAUGAAGUAGUUAGAAUAUGUAGUGUAGCGGUGAAAUGCAUAGAUAUUACAUAGAAUACCAAUUGCGAAGGCAGAUUACUAAUAAUGUACUGACACUGAUGGACGAAAGCGUGGGGAGCGAACGGG
rnacentral:rRNA from 1 species